rnacentral:rRNA from 1 species
UACGUAGGGUGCAAGCGUUAAUCGGAAUUACUGGGCGUAAAGCGUGCGCAGGCGGUGAUGUAAGACCGAUGUGAAAUCCCCGGGCUUAACCUGGGAACUGCAUUGGUGACUGCAUUGCUGGAGUAUGGCAGAGGGGGGUGGAAUUCCACGUGUAGCAGUGAAAUGCGUAGAGAUGUGGAGGAACACCGAUGGCGAAGGCAGCCCCCUGGGUCAAAACUGACGCUCAUGCACGAAAGCGUGGGGAGCAAACAGG